GUAGGGAGUUGUUAGGGAGGCUGGGGGAGGCAGGGGUAGGAAGGGAGGUAGGGGGAGUUAGGGAGGCUGGGGGAGGCAGGGGGUGUUAGGGAGGCUGGGGGAGGCAGGGGGUUGUUAGGGAGGCUGGGGGAGGCAGGGGUAGGAAGGGAGGCAGGGGUUGUUAGGGAGGCUGGGGGAGGCAGGGGUAGGAAGGGAGGUAGGGAGUUGUUAGGGAGGCUGGGGGAGGCAGGGGUAGGAAGGGAGGUAGGGGGUGUUAGGGAGGCUGGGGAGGCAGAGGGUUGUUAGGGAGGCUGGGGUGGCAGGGGUAGGAAGGGAGGUAGGGGAGUUAGGGAGGCUGGGGGAGGCAGGGGUAGGAAGGGAGGCAGGGGGUGUUAGGGAGGCAGAAGGAGGCAGGGGGAUGAGGAAGGGGGCCUGGCAAAUUACUGCUCAGUGUCUAAU
ensembl:lncRNA